rnacentral:tRNA from 1 species
CAAAAUAAAGCUUAAAAGUUAGGCAUCUCAUUUACAUUGAGGGUUAUUUCUGUGCGAUUCAGAUUAUUUUGA